CCAAUCGAACUCGGAGAUAGCUGGUUCUCCCCGAAAUAGCUUUAGGGCUAGCCUCAUGUUAGAUAUCCGGAGGUAAAGCACUGAAUGGCCUAGCGUCCGAGAGGAUAGCGAAGCCUAUCAAACUAAGAAUGCCGGAAUAUUGAUGCAUGGGAGUCAGACAGUGUGAGAUAAAUCUCAUUGUCAAAAGGGAAACAGCCCAGAUCUACAGCUAAGGUCCCAAAUUGUAUCUAAGUGGAAAACGAUGUGGAAAUACGCAGACAACCAGGAUGUUGGCUCAGAAGCAGCCACUCAUUUAAAGAGUGCGUAAUAGCUCACUGGUCGAGCGUCUCUGCGCGGAAAAUUUAACGGGGCUAAGAUACAAACCGAAGCUUAGGCUGCACUUUUAGUGCGGGGUAGGGGAGCGUUGUGUAAGCGGAGAAACAGUAGCGAAAGCGGCUGUGGAGUUUACAGAAGUGAGAAUGCCGGAAUGAGUAGCGCGAAUGAUGUGAGAAUCAUCAUGGCCGGAAACCUCAGGUUUUUGGAGGAAGGUUCGUCCGCUCCAAGUUAGGCGGGAGCUAAGGUGAGGCCGAAAGGCGUAGCCGAUGCACAGACGGUAGAGAUUCCGUCCCCACCGAAAGAUUUAAGCGCAGGGACACUUUUAGAAGGUCGGAGCCAGGUGUUGGUUCUGGUAGAGAUCGAGGGAAGAUUAGUACCGAAGUCCGGCUGGAUAAGAGGCGAGAAAAGCUGCGUGUAUAUCUAAGGUGCCCGUACCGCAAACCGACACAGGUAGGUAGGAAGAAGAUUCUAAGGCCAACGGGAGAAGGGUUGUUAAGGAACUCGGCAAAUUGACCCCGUAACUUCGGGAGAAGGGGUGCUCCAGAGAUGGAGCCGCAGAGAAUCGGCCCAAGCAACUGUUUACCAAAAACACAGGUUUGUGCUAAAUCGAAAGAUGACGUAUACGAGCUGACGCCUGCCCGGUGCUGGAAGGUUAAGAGGAGAUGUGCAAGCAUUGAAUCGAAGCCCCAGUGAACGGCGGCCGUAACUAUAACGGUCCUAAGGUAGCGAAAUUCCUUGUCAGGUAAGUUCUGACCCGCAUGAAAGGCGUAAUGAUUUGGGCACUGUCUCAACAGCCCGCCCGGCGAAAUUGUAGUACCGGUGAAGAUGCCGGUUACCCGCGACAAGACGGAAAGACCCCAUGGAGCUUUACUGUAGCCUAAUAUUGGGUUUCGAUGUUGCAUGCACAGGAUAGAUGGGACACUGGGAAGCAAGUGCUUUGGCGCUUGUGGAGUGGCCGUUGGGAUACCAUCCUUGCGAUAUUGGAAUUCUAACCUGCGCCUUUGAAUCAAGGCGGGGGACAUUGUUAGGUGGGCAGUUUGACUGGGGCGGUCGCCUCCUAAAGAGUAACGGAGGCGUUCAAAGGUUCGCUCAGCUUGAACGGAAAUCAAGCAAAAGAGUGCAAACGCAGAAGCGAGCCUAACUGCGAGACUGACGGGUCGAGCAGUAACGAAAGUUGGAGUUAGUGAUCCGGUGGUAUGUGAGUGGAAAUGCCAUCGCUCAACGGAUAAAAGUUACCCUGGGGAUAACAGGCUGAUCUCCCCCAAGAGUCCACAUCGACGGGGAGGUUUGGCACCUCGAUGUCGGCUCAUCGCAUCCUGGGGCUGUAUUCGGUCCCAAGGGUUUGGCUGUUCGCCAAUUAAAGCGGUACGCGAGCUGGGUUCAGAACGUCGUGAGACAGUUCGGUCCCUAUCUGUCGUGGGCGCAGGAUAUUUGAUGGGAGCUGUUCCUAGUACGAGAGGACCGGAGCGGACGUACCUCUGGCGCACCAGUUGUUCUGCCAAGAGCAUAGCUGGGCAACUAUGUACGGAUCGGAUAAACGCUGAAAGCAUCUAAGCGUGAAGCCGACCCAAAGAUAAGAUAUCCCAUUGUUUCAAACAAGUAAGACCCCUUGAAGACUACAAGGUUGAUAGGCACGAUGUGUAAGUGGAGCGAUCCAUUCAGCAAGCGUGUACUAAUAGGUCGAGGGCUUGACCAC
rnacentral:rRNA from 1 species